UAUUUCUAAAACACAAAAUAAUAUAUUUUAUUAGAAUUUUGUAAUUUUAAAACGAAUCAUUUAUAUUAAUAAUACAUGCAAUUACAAGGAGAAACAACGCAUAGAAAAGUAAACCGACAUUAAGCGUAAAUUCUUCAGGAGAAAAUUCUCCAAUAAAAAGACCGAACAUAGAAGCAAAAAUUAGAAUUGCACAUAAAACCAAAAAUAUGCGAAUCAUCUUUCUUGCAAUGAAAAACCGGAAUGUGGCGAUUUGAAAAUAUUUGAGAGAAGAUGAAAUAUUUUGGAUGAAGUAAAUGAGUGAAGAAUGAGUAUAUUUAUAGAUGAAAAUACUGUUCAUAGCCGUUUGAAAAAGGUUAAAAUUUUGAAUUUUUUUCUUUGUGACCGUUUGGAUUAAAUCGUAUGAACGAAAAUCAAUCUGAAAAUAUUGUAACAAUCAGUCAACCAAAUUCCGUAAAUUUCGUAAUAUUUUAUGUAGGUGACCAAACACUUAUAUAAUAACCAUAAUAUGAUGAACAAAUAGAUAUUAAUCGUAUUAUGGGGAUAGAAAAACUAUAACAUUAAAUAGAUUAUGCGGCGGCACAACCAAGCCAAUAAUUAUAGUGUAAUUAGCAAUCAAGGUUUAUUAACGAGGCGACAUACCACCCGCAUUAAUUUAAACAAUCACUAUAAAAUGAUAAAUAAUAAUAUAGGCGGUAUACCGGCCAUUAUAGCAGAGUAGAUAUGAUACAUAUAAAUUUUACCGAAUCGCAGAGUGAUCGUGCUGAUAACGUGUUAUAAAAUAACUUAUAAUUUUAUAGUAUCGAAAAUUUUAAAUAAGAGCGAAAUUUUAUACCCGCAGAAAGGAGAUACUACUGAUACAAAAUAAUAACGAGAGAGAAUAUGUUAUAAGAGGAAGAAGAGAUGGUGUGUAUUACAAUCGAACGAAAACGUUCGUAUAUAUAGAAGUAAAAAGAUAAAGUUACUGUGCGUGCAUAGUGACGGUGGGCUCCACAUAUUUUUACGUUCUCAUACAAUGUCAAUGUUUUCGGUGCAGCAAACAUUGACGUUUCUCCAUCAUGUUUAUAACAAAUAAAUUAUAACUCACAAAACAAACCAUUUAAAUUUUACUUUUUGUCCAAACAAAAAAUAUCUAUCUAUCUAUAUAUCUAUAUAUAUAAAGAAGGGUUUCUCUCCUUCUUAAGCAUGCCACAUGGGAUUCCACGUCACAAAUUCGGAGACUGAGAGUGUGACACGUGUCACUUUAACCAAAGUGCACCGUUUCAUUUAAGCGAGAUACAUUGUCUGUUUGCUGGGCUUUAAUUACUUUUCCUUAGAAUAGUCAUGUUGAAGUUGGGCUGUCUGUAUAUUUCUUUGUUGGGCUCUACUAAUAAAAUUAACUGAAGUCCAGAAAGAUUACCUUUAUCACAUAUUAUCUUAUUAUCUAACGACGAUCUUCUGCAGCCGCAAGCGUUCAACUCCGUCUUCAUCUAACCGCAAUUAAGAACAGUGACAAAAAAAAGUGUUGCAAGAAACGUUAUUUCCCGACCAAUCUCUGUUCGGAAUACAACGGAUCUCUCUUCACGAUUGAUUUCCUCCCACCGCCUUAUGAAACCAGCACCGUUACGGAAGUCGGAAGACCUAUACAUUGAAUGAUCAUCAUUAAUGCCACCUUCCCACCACUGCUUACAUGAUGUCUCAUUCAAUACCCCCUUCUUUCUUCCAUGGUAUGAAUCUACAAUCUAUAAAUAUGUGAGAUUCUUGACGUGAAAUUCAUCAGUUCCUCCCCUCAAUCAUUAUAAUCAAUCUCUCUCUCGAUGGUCUGUUUCCCUUCUUUUUUCAUCGCUGAUAUAUUGCAUGGAUCGAUUUUAUUUGUAAUGCAUCUCUAAUCUCUUUUGAUGUACUUUGCUAGCUUAUAUUACUCUAAACAGUGACUCGAUUCGAUUUCUCCAUGGGUGACGGUGAUGAUCUGGAAAAUUGCUCCAAGUUUGUGUUCUUUUUUUUUUCUUUUGGAAAACACGUUUGUGUUCAUUCUCAGUAAUGGGAAUCGUAUAAAAGCUGGAAACUUUGAUCCUUUCAUCGAGUUUCACGCAGCUUUUGUUCCUGAUUCCAGCAAAUCUUUCUUACUUAUUCAUAUUGCAAAGAUUCAUCAUGAUCUUCAUAGGAUACAUUCGUUUUAAGAAGUUGCAUUAGUAUUAAACUUUGUUUUCAACAUUACAUUAGGCAUCUGACAUUAGUGAACCGUGCUAGAGCAUAGAGUUUGGCUAGACGUGCUGAUCUUUGUUUCAAAAAUAACAAUAAAAUUGCCAGGAUAUGAAGAAUGUAGUGGAAAACUUGAUAAACAUUAUUAUUAAAGAAUUAGAGAGUGAGAUUGUUAGAUAGCCAUUAGCAAUUAAAGUAAUGAGGUAAGAAACAAGAGGCUGAAGGGAGGAGUUAGUGUCAGAGUAUAAUUUUUGCAAUGCUUGGUUUCCCAAAAUUAUAUAAUAAAGAAUUAGCUUCAUAUAAAUUCUAAUACUUGAACAUGUAAUUCUGUAUUGCAUAUGUAUUUUUCGUAAUCCAGAAGAAACACGAACAAAUGUUAACCGUAUGCCAAGAACAAAUGUUAUAAUUCACACAGGCACCACGUCUAUUCAACUCUUACACUCCCAAAACCUUAGAGUAAAAAAAAAACAAGAAAAUAACUAAGAAGUUGAUGGCUCUUUAGCUUCAUGUUUUCUUUAAAAUUUAAGCCAAAGUUGAAUUAAUCAUUACAUAUGUCAAAAAUAUUUAUAGAUACCGGCUAUUAGAAUAAGUAAAAUAUUAUAUCACUUCUGUGUUACUAAAAAUUGAUUAAUUCAGUAUUAUGUUUUAAAAUUAUUUAUUUAAAUAGUGAAAAGCUUACAAAAUAGUAGAUCAAAACAACCUUAAUGAUCAAAUAAUUUCUGUUUAUUUUUUAACCUAUUGUUUAAAAACUAUUUACCAUUUGUUCAUCCAAUAUUUACUGUGUUAGUAAAUUUAAUAUCUGAAUACUAUACUAUCAGAUACAUAGUAAAAAUAAAACAAUAUAUAUUUUCUAAAUAGUAAAUAUUAAUAUUAUGUUUUCAUAAUGUCUUACCCACUCAAGAUACUUUAAUCACGGUAAAUAAACUAUUUCUUUUCUUACAUCAUUUGAAUUGCAAGCAUUGGGUUUGAAGUUUGAAUUAUAAUAUUACGAGUAGACAGUUAUAUUUGUAAAUAGUCAUUAAGAUAAUGUUUAUAAAUUUUACAUUCAUUUACUGCAAUAAGAGACAUUAUCCAAGAUAGGUUAGUCAAACAAAUUCCCAUGAACAAACUAGAGAAUGAUGAGAAUGAUGACACAGCCGAUCAAAAGACAUAGAUCAUUUUACUCAUGAACACGUUUACAAAACUCCUAUAGUCUCUCACUCUAUCUCUCUUUAUCUCAGUAAAAUGCAUUUACUUAAUUAACAUAUAAUAUCAAAUGUUUUGUAAGAACAAAAGGGGAGGUAACCCACUAUUCAGCGCUAAUCAUAUAACGCGGUAAUCAAGCGGGGAUGAGCUAGACGCCACGGCCGAGCCAUUGCUAAGGGUUAACAAGAAGGUUGGUCAGGUCAAUUAUCAUGAUCAAGCCAAGGUUCAUGAGCUUCAAGUCAUGUUUGCAGGGGAAGCAGCACAUAGAUCCCAUUACUCUACAAUUCAUCCUUACUUUAGUGGUUUCAGGCCAAGCAUAUUUAUUAUGAUUUUUUAGUGACCGUUUUAAGAUAUGUUUUUUGGUCAAUGUGUUUAGAGAAGCUUAAUUAGUUUUGUUAGGUUUAAGAAAAGAAUGUAAAGAUAUUUGAUUGAAUUUGCAUUUUUCUUUGUUCUUCGCUACAAGAGAGAUAGGACUCUACUAUAUGUAAGAUCUUUAUAAGGAGUAAGAAACAUAGGACAAAAAAUUUAGUUAAUAUACACAAAAAUAUAGGUUUAUGUUAAAAUACACAAAAAUAAAAAGCAUAAAAAUUGACUAUCCAAUUAAUUCUCACAUGAGCGUAGAGAUAUGUAACAUUACCACGGGUUUAACUGGUUUUUCCGCUACCACUACAUUUUACGGUUAUUGGCGGUUGUUGAUAUUUGACAAUAAUCACAAAAUGUUAUAAAUCGCUUUAAACCGCUCCAAACCUUUUAAAAUCAAAGAUAGUUUCUACUACGGACAAUUGCAAUGAAUAAAAAAAUAUAUAAAAAAAAUUUAAAUUUCAAAACUGAAAUACUUUAAACAAAAAAAAAUAUAUAUAUAUAUAUAUAUAUAUAUAUCUUAUAUUUUAAUUCACUAAAAGAAUCAUAAAAGACAAAAUAUAUAAAAGGAUUUGUACAUAUAUAAACAAGACAAAAUAUUUUUUAAGAAGUUCCAAUAAAAAUAUUCAAAAGGUUUUUAGUGAAAUUAUAAAUUUUUGAAAAAUAAUAAAAUAAAAUAAAUAGAUGUAAUAUUGUUUUUAAUUAUAUUAUAUUAAUAAUUAUUAAAUUUUAUCAUAAUAUUAUGUUUUUAAUAUUUAUAAUAUUAUGUUUUUAAUAUUUAUAAUAUUAUAAUGUAUUAAUAUUGGUCGUUUAUUAUUAAAUCGCAGGAGUGUCUCAUAAUUAACUUGGCAUAACUAUUUCGCAACAACGCUAAUUUUUAACCGAUAUAACAGUUUUACAAAUUUCUUAAUAACGCUAAAAACCAUAACCAUCCACGUCUGCAAACUUUAACAACCGCACCCGUAACCGCUACAUUUUAACCAUUCAUACCCUAAAACGUGUAGAGGGAAUACUAAAUGUUUAUAUGCUACUUCGUUUAUGUUAAUAUACUACAAAACAAUUAAGUUACAGCACAUCAAGAGUGUAAACAUUACAUCCAAAUGCAAACCAACUAUUAAAACAUUGCUUACCCAAAGAAAAUAUAUCUCAAACAAUAUAUAUGGUUGUAAAUUUAAGGGAGGGAGAAUCCAUUAAAUUACUUAGAGACUAAUUGGAAACAAACAUUAUAAAUAGUUUUAAGUGAAAUGAAACAUGUCUACAAUUCAACCAAUUAAAUACCAUAACUAAAAUUUAAUUAAUUUUUUAUUCUGCUCUUCACCUUAUAUAUAGUUUUCUAUAACAAGAAAAAUUGGAUACUACAAAUUUUGAAUCGUUUAAGAUAAAAACAAUGAAUAAUUUAAAAUUAUUUUAUAUUUGUCUAUAGCUACUUAUGUUUUUAUAAUAGAUUCUAAAUUUAUAUUAUAAAAACAUAUUAAAUAUUCUAAAAUAAAAAAAACAUACAUAUUAAAUAUUAAAUAUAUUUAAACAGACAUGAAUUUAAACAGAACAUAUUAAAUAUUCUGUUUAAUACAAAUUAAAACAAAACAUAUUAAAUAUAUAAUUAAAAGUAAGAAAAAUACCAAAACAUGUAAUUCUGUAUAGUUAUAUUAGUCUGCUAAUACCAAAACAUGUAAGAAAAAUAACUAAUAUGUAUAGUUUUCUAUGAUAUAAAUAUAUAUUAAAUACAUACUAUACCGGUUCAAUUUUUAUUUAAUAUACAUCCCGCCCGUAGGGCGGGCCGAUCCUAGUAUAUAUAUAUAUAAAGGAGAAGAGAAUCUCUUCUCAUGCUGCCACUUCAUCAUGCUCUUCCCUCAGCCCUCCACGUCAACACCCUUCCAAGCUUUUUCGGCAUUUGAUUUCGUGGAUAGCCGAAGUGGGCCUCAAGCGUAAGUUGGCCCAGUAUUUGGUUCGCUUUAUUUUUAAUGUUUCGUUACUGUCUAAUAGGCUGGAUAAGCUUUGGAACUAUUGCACACAAAAAAAAAGCUUUGGAACUAAUACUUCAGCCUGAGACCACCAUCGUAGGAAACCGUCGCUCCGGCUCCACUUUCAGGAGCUAUUUAUUACGGCAUUCAACAAAAAUUUCCCACUAUUUGAUCUUCGAUUCAACUUCCAUAGCUUCUACACCACUUCCACAAGGUUAUAUAUACACCAACAACGAUUCAUCCCCAUUCCCCACAUAUUUUUGUCUCCCACUUUCACUUUUGUUCCAUUAAAGGAUCAACCAUCCCCAGAAAUUAAAAAGUUCAGAGCUUUACAAAUCUAUCAGGAGUUAAGAUUUCAUCAAUGGAGGAAAUAUCUCCGGCGGUUUCUUUGCCUUUCCCAGAAACCCAGAUGGAAUUCGCAGGGAUCAUGGGAAUCAUGUUGCGUAAAGGCUACUGCUACAGCCAAUACUCAACUCAAGAUUCCCACAGCGUCGAUUCGUUUCCGUAUACUUCGUGUUCUGUUUUUGGGUCUCAUGUAGCUCAAUAUAGAGAGAGAUCUACGUUUCAGAAGAAGAUGAUCAGCGAACAGAGAGCAGGAGUCUGUUUGACUUCAAGAUUGUGCCUUAGAAGGCUGUGACAUCGAUGACGACCAGAGAAGGAAGAUGAUGUCUCCACUAUACCCAGAAUUCUUCGAUCUCCAACUAAUUCGUUAAUACAUGGUCGUUUCAAUCCUCAAUCAACUGCUCAUUUCUUUGGUGUCUACAACAGCCCUGGAGGAUCACAGGUAACGAACUAUUGUAGAGAGAGGAAAAGCUAGGAAUAAGUACAUUAAGGAGAGUGUUGACUUUGGGUCCAUGUCCACAGAUCAGAAACUAAUACACGGACUUUAACAAUACAUAUUUCAGGGAAGCGAGCCCGACAAGUUAAGAAGCAUUUGCGCAAAGAAAGCAGCAAACUCGAUUCCCCAAGGCAUGUUUUUGAUGGAAUACUUCUUCGUGACCAUCUGAUAACAACCAUAAUCCCUGCAUUGCCUCACUAUUUGUUUUUCUGUUAAGCAGCAGCGUAGUCUCAUUCUCUCAAAAUGAUAGGACAAAGCAGCUAGGCCGACAAUAAAUUGACCAAGUGGGAAGAGAACACACCAACAUGUCUAAUGUCAGAUUGUCAGUCCGUGAGUCAAUGUAACGCUCCCUUCACCGUACUUUUUCGCAGCAGCAUUAAACCGCUCCUUCUUUUUCUGCAUCAAAGCAAUAAGCUCAUGCUAAUGGCAAUAAAAAGACAUUAAAAUUUAUUACAAAGGAUAAGUUAAACAUGUGAAGCUAUGAGAAACCUUAAGUUACUUGCAGAUGAUCUAUGUUUCUUGCUUUUAUUGACAUUGGUAUUACU